GAGUGAAAGAAAAAAUCGGUCGCUGAU
rnacentral:piRNA from 1 species